rnacentral:rRNA from 1 species
GACGAACGCUGGCGGCAUGCCUAAUACAUGCAAGUCGUGCGAAUUGACGAAGUACUUGUACUUCCGACGUUAGCGGCGAACGGGUGAGUAACACGUAAGGAAUCUACCUAUAAGCGGGGGAUAACAUUCGGAAACGGAUGCUAAUACCGCAUAAUACAUAUUUCCGCAUGGAAAUACGUUGAAAGACGGCUCUGCUGUCACUUAUAGAUGACCUUGCGGUGCAUUAGUUAGUUGGUGGGGUAAUGGCCUACCAAGACGAUGAUGCAUAGCCGACCUGAGAGGGUGAUCGGCCACAUUGGGACUGAGACACGGCCCAAACUCCUACGGGAGGCAGCAGUAGGGAAUCUUCCGCAAUGGGCGAAAGCCUGACGGAGCAAUGCCGCGUGAGUGAGGAAGGCCUUCGGGUCGUAAAACUCUGUUAUAAGAGAAGAACAAAUUGUAGAGUAACUGCUACAGUCUUGACGGUAUCUUAUCAGAAAGCCACGGCUAACUACGUGCCAGCCGCCGCGGUAACAC